AUCCAGGUGGCCAAGUGGAAAGGCGACGGAUUGCAAACCCGUCUAUCGUGGGUUCGAUUCCCACCCUGGAUUCCA
rnacentral:tRNA from 1 species